GUCCACGCCGUAAACGAUGAGAACUAGGUGUUGCGGGUAUUGACCCCUGCAGUGCCGUAGCUAACGCAUUAAGUUCUCCGCCUGGGAAGUACGGUCGCAAGACUAAAACUCAAAGGAAUUGACGGGGCCCGCACAAGCGGUGGAGCAUGUGGUUUAAUUCGACGCAACGCGCAGAACCUUACCUGGGCUUGACAUCUACGGAACCCUCCCGAAACGGAGGGGUGCCUUUCGGGGAGCCGUAAGACAGGUGCUGCAUGGCUGUCGU
rnacentral:rRNA from 1 species